UACGUAGGGUGCGAGCGUUGUCCGGAAUCACUGGGCGUAAAGGGUGCGUAGGCGGGUCUUUAAGUCAGGGGGGAAAUCCUGGAGCUCAACUCCAGAACUGCCUUUGAUACUGAGGAUCUUGAGUUCGGGAGAGGUGAGUGGAACUGCGAGUGUAGAGGUGAAAUUCGUAGAUAUUCGCAAGAACACCAGUGGCGAAGGCGGCUCACUGGCCCGAUACUGACGCUGAGGCACGAAAGCGUGGGGAGCAAACAGG
rnacentral:rRNA from 1 species